rnacentral:rRNA from 1 species
GAUGAACGCUGGCGGCGUGCCUAAUACAUGCAAGUCGAGCGAACAGACGAGGAGCUUGCUCCUCGGACGUUAGCGGCGGACGGGUGAGUAACACGUGGAUAACCUACCUAUAAGACUGGGAUAACUUCGGGAAACCGGAGCUAAUACCGGAUAAUAUAUUGAACCGCAUGGGUCAAUAGUGAAAGACGGUUUUGCUGUCACGUAUAGAUGGAUCCGCGCCGCAUUAGCUAGUUGGUAAGGUAACGGCUUACCAAGGCAACGAUGCGUAGCCGACCUGAGAGGGUGAUCGGCCACACUGGAACUGAGACACGGUCCAGACUCCUACGGGAGGCAGCAGUAGGGAAUCUUCCGCAAUGGGCGAAAGCCUGACGGAGCAACGCCGCGUGAGUGAUGAAGGUCUUCGGAUCGUAAAACUCUGUUAUUAGGGAAGAACAACUGUGUAAGUAACUAUGCACGUCUUGACGGUACCUAAUCAGAAAGCCACGGCUAACUACGUG